AUUGAACGCUAGCGGGAUGCUUUACACAUGCAAGUCGAACGGAGUGGCGGACGGGUGAGUAAUAUAUCGGAACGUGCCCAGUAGCGGGGGAUAACUACUCGACAGAGUGGCUAAUACCGGAUACUAUUGGAGCGGCCGAUAUCGGAUUAGCUAGUUGGUGGGGUAAGGGCACACCAAGGCAACGAUCUGUAGCUGGUUUGAGAGGACGACAAGCGACACGGUGACUGAGACACGGCCCAGACUCCUACGGGAGGCAGCAGUGGGGAAUUUUGGACAAUGGGGGAAACCCUGAUCCAGCCAUCCCGCGUGUAUGAUGAAGGCCUGCGGGUUGUAAAGUACUUUUGGCAGAGAAGCGGUAUCUGCAGAAGAAGCACCGGCUAACUACGUGCCAGCAGCCGCGGUAAUUC
rnacentral:rRNA from 1 species